AGGGGACUCAAUGGCCAUAUGUUUAUGUGUAUUAAGUUCGGAUAAAACAGGGCAGUGAAGUUGGGCGACAGCCGAGAGGCAGCGCAGUGCACGGAAAAUGAAGUCUAUCAGAUCGCGGUUCCCAAUUCCGACCCGGUGUGUCCCUUUUUCACACUACUCUCUACUGUCUUUGGUGGACCAGAGGAUGUUGGAUGUUUUUGUGAGGAGGGUUAUCUUCGCCAAAACGGCAGGUGUAUUGAGCCUAGUGAAUGUCCAUCUUGUACGGUGGCUAAUUGCUUCGCAGAUCCAUGUCUAUCUGCAACAUGUCCUGACUUUCCAGAUGCGCAGUGUGUGUCCAACUUCUGCAAUAGCUGCAACGCUGUCUUCUAUGUCAACGAUAACAAUGGGCUUCGUGAGGUCCAAUGUGGCGUAAAACGCCACCAUUUAAACAAGUAAUAUGUGAAUACCAGGUAUAUAUUUCAUGGGAGUGGCGCCAGUACCAGAAGAGACAUGUUAAGGUUAUCAUGAAUUUUGAAACUACCCAUAAGUAGAGGGACAAUAAAUGAUGUAAUAAUGUUAUUAUUGAUCUCGAUAUCUGGUCUGAUAAUAGGAGGCAAUAAAUGACUUAAUGUUAUAAUUGAUCUAGAGAUCUGUUCUGAUGAUAAUUAUCAAAUGUUAUUAUUUUGAUUUGAUCCUUACUAUUCUGUGUGUAUCAUCUCUAGGUUAGAUAACAAAUGCCCUUAAAUGGGCUUGCUAUUAAAUAUUCUAUUAAGAACUAUGAACAUUUCUUUUAUAAUUGCUUUGAAUAUUUCAUAGAAUGUAAAUGAUGCACAUUCAUGGUGGUUCGAUUGUGACUACACAACACUAUGAAUUCUAGUCUUACCAAUUUCAGAAUUAAUUCGCCAAGUUUGAUGGUAGAUGAUAGUUUAAUCUGCACUUUUCAUGUUAAAUUCAUGUUAAGAAAACUACUGGACCCUUCGAUUUUAGCUGUUGUGAUAUAUCUAUACUCAUCUAUGUAAGAUCAGAUAUUAAAUUAUUUCAGUCGCGGAUAAGGCAUACAAAUUU